UCCCUGGUGGCUCAGACGGUAAAGCGUCUGCCUGCAAUGCGGGAGACCCAGGUUCGAUCCCUGGGUCGUGAA
rnacentral:tRNA from 1 species